GUGGCCGUAGCACUCCGCUGCCAGUUGUCCGGAGAGUGGCAGAUAAUUCGUAUCGGGGGAAACAUUUACUAAAUCUUCUGCCAGCUGAAGUCAUGAGCAUCUGGUCCGAGAAACCUCUCCCAUGUCCACACAAAGAUUGACCCCUGCAUGCCUCUUCUCGCUCUCCACUGAAGCAUUCUGUUUCUAAGAAACCUGAUGAAGAAUGAAUAAUUGCUGAACAAAAGAAAUCACCCUCAUUGUGG